GACGAACGCUGGCGGCGUGCUUAACACAUGCAAGUCGAACGGAAGGGCCCUGCUUUUGUGGGGUGCUCGAGUGGCGAACGGGUGAGUAACACGUGAGUAACCUGCCCUUGACUUUGGGAUAACUUCAGGAAACUGGGGCUAAUACCGGAUAGGAGCUCCUGCUGCAUGGUGGGGGUUGGAAAGUUUCGGCGGUUGGGGAUGGACUCGCGGCUUAUCAGCUUGUUGGUGGGGUAGUGGCUUACCAAGGCUUUGGCGGGUAGCCGGCCUGAGAGGGUGACCGGCCACAUUGGGACUGAGAUACGGCCCAGACUCCUACGGGAGGCAGCAGUGGGGAAUAUUGCACAAUGGGCGGAAGCCUGAUGCAGCAACGCCGCGUGCGGGAUGACGGCCUUCGGGUUGUAAACCGCUUUCGCCUGUGACGAAGCGUGAGUGACGGUAAUGGGUAAAGAAGCACCGGCUAACUACGUG
rnacentral:rRNA from 1 species